rnacentral:rRNA from 1 species
UACGUAGGGGGCUAGCGUUGUCCGGAUUUAUUGGGCGUAAAGAGCGUGUAGGCGGCCAGGUAGGUCUGCUGUGAAAACUCGAGGCUCAACCUCGAGACGUCGGCGGAAACCAUCUGGCUAGAGUCCGGAAGAGGAGAGUGGAAUUCCUGGUGUGAGCGGUGAAAUGCGCAGAUAUCGAGGAAGAACACCCGUGGCGCAAGGCGGCUCUCGUGGGACGGUACUGACGCUGAGACGCGAAAGCG